UUGAUNCCUGGCUCAGAUUGAACGCUGGCGGCAUGCCUUACACAUGCAAGUCGAACGGCAGCACGGGCUUCGGUCUGGUGGCGAGUGGCGAACGGGUGAGUAAUGCAUCGGAACGUACCCGGGAGUGGGGGAUAACUAUCCGAAAGGAUAGCUAAUACCGCAUAUUCUGUGCGCAGGAAAGCAGGGGAUCUUCGGACCUUGUGCUCCCGGAGCGGCCGAUGUCAGAUUAGCUAGUUGGUGGGGUAAAGGCCUACCAAGGCGACGAUCUGUAGCGGGUCUGAGAGGAUGAUCCGCCACACUGGAACUGAGACACGGUCCAGACUCCUACGGGAGGCAGCAGUGGGGAAUUUUGGACAAUGGGCGCAAGCCUGAUCCAGCCAUGCCGCGUGAGUGAAGAAGGCCUUCGGGUUGUAAAGCUCUUUCGGCCGGGAAGAAAUCGCACAGGUUAAUACCCUGUGCGGAUGACGGUACCGGCCAUAAGAAGCACCGGCUAACUACGUGCCAGCAGCCGCGGUAAUACGUAGCUACGUGCCAGCAGCCGCGGUAAUACGUAGGGUGCGA
rnacentral:rRNA from 1 species